AUUGGGAGGGAAAGAACUAAAGAAGAUUUUUGGGUAUGGCGGCAAAAGGCAAAAACUCUCUCAUUUCCCUUUGUUUUCCCUCGUCUGGUCCUCGCACUCUCUCGCCAUGGCCGUCGAACUAAAUGAAAGAUCUGCCGGUGCAAUUGGAAAUCUCUCUCACCUACUUGGGAAGGCAAGAGCUUACAGAGACGAUGCUUUGCGCAAAACCAAUUACCGGAAUAUAGAUCUUUGUGUGCUGAGUUCUUGACAUAGUUUUGCUAAUGCGGUAUUAUCUAAAUUUGAAUGGUCAGCUGUCGUUGAAAUCGGAUUCCUCACGAACAGAUGACAUAAAUGCCUACUUACACUUGGUGCUCUGUUCGUAGCCGAUUCACGUUCUUAAGCUUAGGUGUAGGAAUGGAAGCAGCCUCUGCAGUUAGAGCAACCAAGGCUUUUGAUAUAUCUCCUUCUUGAAGUUCCA